AUUGAACGCUGGCGGCAGGCCUAACACAUGCAAGUCGAACGAGUGGCGGACGGGUGAGUAAUGUCUGGGAAACUGCCUGAUGGAGGGGGAUAACUACUGGAAACGGUAGCUAAUACCGCAUACCAUCAGAUGUGCCCAGAUGGGAUUAGCUAGUUGGUGGGGUAACGGCUCACCAAGGCGACGAUCCCUAGCUGGUCUGAGAGGAUGACCACCACACCUGGAACUGAGACACGGUCCAGACUCCGCCGGGAGGCAGCAGUGGGGAAUAUUGCCAAAUGGGCGCAAGCCUGAUGCAUCAAUGCCGCGUGUAUGAAGAAGGCCUGCGGGUUGUAAAGUACUUUCAGCGGGGAGGCGUUACCCGCAGAAGAAGCACCGGCUAACUCCGUGCCAGCAGCCGCGGUAAUUC
rnacentral:rRNA from 1 species